rnacentral:rRNA from 1 species
UACAGAGGGGGCAAGCGUUAUUCGGAAUUACUGGGCGUAAAGCGUGCGCAGGCGGUUCGUUGUGUCGGCGGUGAAAGCCCCGGGCUUAACCUGGGAAUGGCCGUUGAAACUGGCGAACUGGAGUGUGGCAGAGGGGGGUGGAAUUCCGCGUGUAGCAGUGAAAUGCGUAGAGAUGCGGAGGAACACCGAUGGCGAAGGCAGCCCCCUGGGCUAACACUGACGCUCAGGCACGAAAGCGUGGGGAGCAAACAGG